CGGCAGUCGGAGAUCGGAAACGGUCGGCGCGGCAAGGCGGCCAAGCGGCCAAGCGGCCGGCCAGGCGGUCAGGCGGUCCGGAGGCCGGCGCCGAGGAAAAUGCCGAGGGAGGCCAGAGAGACGGCAGGACCGGCCAGAAGGGAGACGGGAGCACACAGGUGGGAGGAAGGAGUUGGCGCGUGACACCCUCGCAAUGGAGAGGCGGACGGCACCGUGGGUCGGCUGGAGCGGCUAUAGUUGAUAGCAGCGGCCGGGACGGACAAGGGGUUUCCCCGGAGGACGCCAGCGAGUCGUCACGUUGUCGCCAACGCGAAAGUACUCCGGCCUGGGUCGUCAGCUCUGCUGCGACCCGGGAACUGUGUUGUUACAACGCGGUGAUCCGGUGGCAGAAGCAUGGCGCCAGGACCCACGAACGGGACUAGGGUCGGCCAAGGAUUACACGGCAGCUACCGAGGAACCUCAUGGACUUGUUGAGACUGUGGGUUGGGGAACAACCAUUGUAAAUAAAUUCCCUUUUUUUGGUA